CCUACGGGAGGCUGCAGUGGGGAAUAUUGCACAAUGGGGGAAACCCUGAUGCAGCGACGCCGCGUGAGUGAAGAAGUAUUUCGGUAUGUAAAGCUCUAUCAGCAGGGAAGAAAAUGACGGUACCUGACUAAGACGCCGCGGGUAACUACGUGCCAGCACCCGCGGGAAUACGUAGGGGGCAAGCGUUAUCCGGAUUUAGUGGGUGUAAAGGGGGCGUAGUCGGCAGAGUAAGUCCGAAGGGAAAGCCCGCGGCCCAACUCCGGGACUGCUGUUGAAACUGGCUGGCUAGAGUGCUGGAGAGGUAAGCGGAAUGCGUAGUGUAGCGGUGAAAUGCGUAGAUAUUAGGAGGAACACCAGUGGCGAAGGCGGCUUACUGGACAGUAUCUGACGUUGAGGCUCGAAAGCGUGGGGAGCAAACAGGAUUAGAUACCCUAGUAGUC
rnacentral:rRNA from 1 species